GUAAGUAUAGUUUAAACAAAAUAUUAGAUUGUGAUUCUAAAGACAGAGGUUAAACCCCUCUUACUCACC
rnacentral:tRNA from 1 species